rnacentral:lncRNA from 1 species
AAAAGUAAAAUACUUACCUUAAAUCCAGAAUUAAUCUUGAAGGAAGUUCAUAGAACGAUUACCAAUCAUUCAUAAUGUUUUACUUAACAACUAAUACACUUAUUUGCUUAUUAUACUUAUAGUUUACUCGAUUCUAGAUAGAACUCAUGGCAAUGAAUGCGCAUGCCUUUGUGCCUUGCCUACACUGCAGCGCACAUUAAGCAAGGUGAAGCGCCCUCCCCAAGCUUUUCGGAGCAUAAGGGCUUAA